UAAACGUCUCUUAAUGCAGCCAGGUGGCAAGAUAAUCGAACUGGACGAGGAUAAUUGGCACUUGAUGCCCAAGGGAGAAUGGAUGAUUGAAUUCUUUGCCCCUUGGUGCCCGGCUUGCAAGAACUUGCAAGAACCACUUGGGAGCGGUUUGCACGCGUUGCGAAAGAUGUCAAAGUGGAGGUGGCCAAAAUCGAUGUGACCACAUCGCCAUUCCUCAGCGGACGUUUCUUUGUCACAGCCUUGCCCACCAUCUAUCACGUCAAAGAUGGCGAAUUCCGUCCGUAUCGUGGAGCCCGCGACGGGGACGCUCUGCUGUACUUUGUGAAGAA